rnacentral:rRNA from 2 species
CGUAAGCGAGCGCAGGCGGUUUUGUAAGUCUGCUGUGAAAGCCCUCAGCUCAACUGAGGAAGUGCAGUGGAAACUACAAAACUUGAGUACAGAAGAGGAAAGUGGAACUCCAUGUGUAGCGGUGAAAUGCGUAGAUAUAUGGAAGAACACCAGUGGCGAAGGCGGCUUUCUGGUCUGUUACUGACGCUGAGGCUCGAAAGCAUGGGUAGCGAACAGGAUUAGAUACCCUGGUAGUCCAUGCCGUAAACGAUGAAUACUAGGUGUUGGAGGGUUUCCGCCCUUCAGUGCCGCAGCUAACGCAUUAAGUAUUCCGCCUGGGGAGUACGACCGCAAGGUUGAAACUCAAAGGAAUUGACGGGGGCCCGCACAAGUGGUGGAGCAUGUGGUUUAAUUCGAUGCUACGCGAAGAACCUUACCAGCUCUUGACAUCUUCUGCCAACCCAAGAGAUUGGGCGUUCCCUUCGGGGACAGAAUGACAGGUGGUGCAUGGUUGUCGUCAGCUCGUGUCGUGAGAUGUUGGGUUAAGUCCCGCAACGAGCGCAACCCUUAUUAUUAGUUGCCAGCAUUUAGUUGGGCACUCUAGUGAGACUGCCGGUGAUAAACCGGAGGAAGGUGGGGACGACGUCAAAUCAUCAUGCCCCUUAUGAGCUGGGCUACACACGUGCUACAAUGGAUGGUACAACGAGUCGCGAAACCGCGAGGUCAAGCUAAUCUCUUAAAGCCAUUCUCAGUUCGGAUUGCAGGCUGCAACUCGCCUGCAUGAAAUUUGAAAUCACUAGUAAUCGUGGAUCAAGCAUGCCACUGUGAAUACGUUCUCG